rnacentral:lncRNA from 1 species
UAGGUGGUUCCGGCAUGCCCGGCAGGUGAUUCCGGAGUCUCCGGCAUGUGGCUCUGGCACCUCUGAGAGGUGGUUCCGGAAUGCCUGGCAUGUGAUUCCGGAGUGUCUGCCGAGUGGUUCUGGCGUAGCCGGCAGUUGAUUUUGGCGUGUCCACUAGGUGGUUCUGGGGAGUGGAUCAGCUGGUUCCGGCAUACUCGGCAGGUGGUACCAGCGUGUCCAGAACAUGGUUCUGGCAAGUCUGAGAGGUGGUUCCGGCACGCCCGACAGGUGAUUCCGGAGCGUCCGACAAGUGUUUCUGGCGUACCCGGCAGGUGAUUUUGGCAUGUCCGACAGGUGUUUCUUGCAAGUCGAGCAGGUGGCUCAGGCAUGAUCAGCAGGUGCUUCCGGCCUGUCCGGCACGUGGUUCUGGUGUGUCUGAGAGCUGGUUCUGGCAUGUCCGGCAGAUGAUUCCGGAGUGUCCACCAAGUGGUUGUGGCAUACCCGGCAGAACCACGUGCCGGACAGGCCGGAAGCACCUGCUGAUCAUGCCUGAGCCACAUGCUCGACUUGCAAGAAACACCUGCCAGACACGCCAAAAUCACCUGUCGGGUACGCCAGAACCACGUGGCGCAUACUCCGGAAUCACCUGUCGGGCAUGCCGGAACCAAAUCUCAUACGUGCCAGAACCUCGUGGCGGACACGCCAGAACCACCUGCCGGAAAGACCGGAAACACCUGGUGGACACGCCAGAACCACUCGGCAGACACUCCGGAACCACAUGCCAGGCAUCACGGAAACACCUCUCAGAGGUGCCAGAACCAAAUGCCGGACACUCCGGAAUCACCUGCCGGGCAUGCCGGAACCACCUCUCAGAGGUGCCAGAACCACAUGCCGGACACUCCGGAAUCACCUGCCGGGCAUGCCGGAACCACCUGCCGGACAGACCGGAAACACCUGCUGGACACGCCGGAACCACCGGCUCGACUGGCCGGAACCACCGCCGGACAUGCAAAAUGACCUGCCGGCUACGCCAGAUCCACUCGGCAGACACUCCAGAAUCACCUGCCGGGCUGGCUGGAACCACCUGCCGGUCACGCCAACAUCACAUUUCAGCUACGCCAGAACCACUUGGCGGACACUCCGGAAACACCUGUCGGGCCGGUCGGAACCACCUCUCAGACUUGCCAGAACCAUGUGCUGGACACGCCGGUACCACCUGCCGAGUAUGCCAGAACCAGCUGAUCCACUCCCCAGAACCACCUAGUGGACACGCCAAAAUGAACUGCCGGCUACGCCAGAACCACUCGGCAGACACUCCGGAAUCACAUGCCAGGCAUUCCGGAACCACCUCUCAGAGGUGCCAGAACCAAAUGCCGGACACUCCGGUAUCACCCGCCGGGCAUGCCGGAACCACCUCUCAGAGGUGCCAGAACCACAUGCCGGACACUCCGGAAUCACCUGCCGGGCAUGCCGGAACCACCUGCCGGACAUGCCGGAACCACCGGCUCGACUCGCCGGAACCAUUGCCGGACAUGCAAAAUCACCUGCCGGCUACGCCAGAACCACUUGGCGAACACUCC